GAGAGGAACUUGUUCCUCGAGUCGUUGAUUUCACACUGCCGAGAAAAGCCUCUAGCUAGAAUAACGGUGCCCGUACCGCAAACCGACACAGGUAGUCAAGAUGAGAAUUCUAAGGUGAGCGAGCGAACUCUCGUUAAGGAACUCGGCAAAAUGACCCCGUAACUUCGGGAGAAGGGGUGCUCUUUGAGGUUCACGCUUCGAAGAGCCGCAGUGAAUAGGCCCAAGCGACUGUUUAUCAAAAACACAGGUCUCUGCUAAACCGUAAGGUGACGUAUAGGGGCUGACGCCUGCCCGGUGCUGGAAGGUUAAGAGGAGUGGUUAGCGCAAGCGAAGCUACGAAUCGAAGCCCCAGUAAACGGCGGCCGUAACUAUAACGGUCCUAAGGUAGCGAAAUUCCUUGUCGGGUAAGUUCCGACCCGCACGAAAGGCGUAACGAUUUGGGCACUGUCUCAACGAGAGACUCGGUGAAAUCAUAGUACCGGUGAAGAUGCCGGUUACCCGCGACAGGACGGAAA
rnacentral:rRNA from 1 species